GUCGCUGCCAAUUCAGCGAACGGGUUUGGCGACCCGGAUAGAAAGGCGCACAAGCGCCCAUCACGACAGCAGGCGCUUUUUUU
rnacentral:sRNA from 1 species